CUACCCAACUCUGGCUAUGGUCAAUAUUAGCUGGAUAAUUCCCUGAAUCUGGCUCAUGUGGAAUCUUGCAAGGACAAAGAGGAUUUGCUCACUGAUCAGUGAGAGAGCCCUACACUGUGAAAGAUUGAUCCAUGCUGGUGACCUACUGACACAUCCUUAACCACCUGGGUUGGAGCAUGAGUUGAUUCAGCAGGAAGCAGGAAGAUCACACAUCGAGCAUCUUCAAUGGACCAGGCAUUGUAAUAGGCACUCGAGAAACAAGGAUAUUCCCAGUCCUCAAGGAUCUUCCCUUCUGGUUUGCAAGGAAAUGCUCUAAGUACAUGUUGGAAAUUUUGAACCAUAAAACAAAAAUCUAGGUCUGAGUUCAUGUUAAGAGGAAUUCCACAGAGAAGAAAUUCCUGGAGCACUUUUUAAAAACAAUGGUAAUAACACCUCCCUACUGCAGAGGAAAGCUUCGAGCCAUCCAUAAAAAAAAGUCACACAGCUAAGCCAUGAGAGUGUCCCAUUUCCUGGAAACAGUCAAUAAAAUCAAU